GUGCUCACUUUGGCAGCAUAUAUACUAAAAUUGGAACAAUCCAGAGAUUAUCAUGGCCUUAUGCAAAGAUGACACUCAAAUUCGUGAAGCAUUCCAUAUUUUG